UAUGGCUUGUAUUUGGGACCCAUUUAGAAAAGAAUCUUCUUUUCUUAGUCAUCAGAGGAGCCAUUAGAGAGUCUUCACCAAGACUGAAAAUAUAAGUGAGAGUACAUCUUGAAGUGCUACUGCAGAGGAGGAAGAAAAGUAGAUUCGUGUGUGAAAUUCUACCUACCAAAUGACGUGAUAACGAGUCAUACUGCGGUGGAUCGGCAUGCACCCUGUCCCCCUUCUUACCUCCCAGAAUUACCUCAGUAUCAUAGCGUAGGUGCUUUGGAGAAAACUGACUCCUCCUAGCAAUAAGUCUUCAGUUGCUUUAAGCUUUAAGCACAUUCUUUCAGUCCUCUGAUCAUUGUCAUUUGUCCAGGGGUGGGCAUGGACUUUAGUGGUACCAAAAAAAAUCUCGCAUUCCUAUUUGAAAUGCUGAGACAGAAGUACAGGCUCUCACUUUCUCUGCAGUUGGCAGAGAGGGAAUGUGGUCUCGAUUGCUUCUGGCAAACAUUGUGCAGUCAUGUUGGAAAGGGGACUUGAAAUGAAGCGAAGAUUCCAGAAAACAGAACAAACCAAAAGAAAUGGUGACCACUAUAACUGGCAACUGUGGAGCCUGCCCUAUCUCUGGACAUUCAGUUACUGGGGCUAAUAAAGCCUGGUUUACUUUGUUGUCUGUGCCAUUUGACUUUGCUUUCUUGAUG
rnacentral:lncRNA from 10 species